CUCUCUCUUCCUCUCUGUAAAAAAAUCAAUAAAAUAUAUUUUAAAAAUAAAAUAAAAUGGCUGGCACCAAGACCUUGACAUUUUUUUUUAAAAAAAGAGGUCUUUACUGAAUUAACUCUGAGAAAUGCUGUGCUAAUUUGCUUUUCUGUGGGAGUAAGGGAAGGAAGGGACUUAAGCAAAAGCAUCUUUCUAUAACCAAUUUUCCCUAAAUUUAAAAAAAAAUAUAUUUUUUAUUGAUUUCAGAGAGGAAGGGAGAGGGAGAGGGAGAGAGAGAGAGACGGAGAGAAACAUCACUGAUAAGAGAGAAUCAUUGAUUGGCUACCUCCUGCAUGCCCCCUACUGGGGAUUGAGCCUGCAACCUGGGAAUGUGCCCUGACUGGGAAUCACACCCUGACUUUCUGGUUCAUAGGUUGGUCCUUAAUCACUGAGCUACAGUGGCCAGACCCUAGAUUUUUUUUAUGGAAGAUGCAGAAGACAUUACAUCUCCUCAUCUUCCCUUUGUCUUUCCCCGAGGUGUGGGUAAUACUACAGCAGUGGUUCUCAACCUUCCUAAUGCUGUGACCCUUUAAUACAGUUCCUCAUGUUGUGGUGACCCCAACCAUAAAAUUAUUUUCAUUGCUACAUCAUAACUGUAAUUUUGCUACUGUUAUGAUUCAUAAUGUAAAUAUCUGUGUUUUCUGAUGGUCUUAGGGGACCCCUGUGAAAGGGUUGUUCGACCCCCAAAGGGAUCGUGACCCAGAGGUUGAGAACUGCUGGUGAAGGCAGAGCCC